GGGACCUUCCGGAAGGAUCAUUG
rnacentral:rRNA from 1 species